rnacentral:rRNA from 1 species
AUGACCCCAGGUUAGGCGGGCCACC